AAAGUGGUACGCGAGCUGGGUUUAGAACGUCGUGAGACAGUUCGGUCCCUAUCUGCCGUGGGCGUUGGAGAAUUGAAAGGGGCUGCUCCUAGUACGAGAGGACCGGAGUGGACGAACCUCUGGUGUUCGGGUUGUGUCGCCAGACGCAUUGCCCGGUAGCUAAGUUCGGGAUCGAUAACCGCUGAAAGCAUCUAAGCGGGAAGCGAGCCUUGAGAUGAGUUCUCCCUGAUACUUUAAGUAUCCUAAAGGGUUGUCGUAGACUACGACGUUGAUAGGCAGGGUGUGUAAGCGUUGUGAGGCGUUGAGCUAACCUGUACUAAUUGCCCGUGAGGCUUAACCAUACAACACCCAAGGGGUUU
rnacentral:rRNA from 1 species